GACGAACGCUGGCGGCGCGCCUAACACAUGCAAGUCGAACGGUGAAGAGGAGCUUGCUCCUCGGAACAGUGGCGGACGGGUGAGUAACACGUGAGCAACCUGGCUCUAAGAGGGGGACAACAGUUGGAAACGACUGCUAAUACCGCAUGACGUAUCGGGAUGGCAUCUUCCUGAUACCAAAGAUUUUAUCGCUUAGAGAUGGGCUCGCGUCUGAUUAGAUAGUUGGCGGGGUAACGGCCCACCAAGUCGACGAUCAGUAGCCGGACUGAGAGGUUGAACGGCCACAUUGGGGCUGAGACACGGCCCAGACUCCUACGGGAGGCAGCAGUGGGGGAUAUUGGACAAUGGGGGCAACCCUGAUCCAGCGACGCCGCGUGAGGGAAGAAGGUUUUCGGAUUGUAAAACUCUGUUGACGGAGAAAAAAAUGAUGGUAUCCGUUUAGAAAGCCACGGCUAACUACGUG
rnacentral:rRNA from 1 species